rnacentral:lncRNA from 1 species
UGGUAUGACAAAUUGGAAAGAGGAAUAGAGAAGUUAAAAACUAAAAUAGGGAUUUGAUGGUGAAUUUAAAUUCUCUUUAUCGUUGAUGUACUACUAGUUUUUAUGGGAUUCUUAUUAGUAGGAUUUGAAAAGAGAUCGUAUAUCUAUCUUUCGUUGGAAAAUGGUUAAGUUGUUAAAUAGGUGAUGUGCUUGGGAUAGAAGCCAAGAUCUCCUAUUAGUUGAUAGCAAUUAGCUAGAGAAAUGUCAUGAUUUUGUUUGGCUUGUAGUAGUGGCAAGAAUUUGUUCUCUUUAAUUGGAAAUGAUCACAUAGUACUUAAUGGCAGAAUUUGAUAAGAAUCGAAAACUUUCUUGAAUUGGCAGCAAACAUCUUAUUUAAUUAUGAACCACUUCAAUGAUUAUGAGGGCAAAU